ACGCAACGCGCAGAACCUUACCUGGUCUUGACAUCCCGGGAAUUCCUUGAAAGAGGGAAGUGCCUCGCAAGAGGAGCCUGGAGACAGGUGCUGCAUGGCUGCGUCAGCUCGUGUCGUGAGAUGUUGGGUUAAGUCCCGCAACGAGCGCAACCCUUGUCUUUAGUUGCCAUCAUUCAGUUGGGCACUCUAAAGAGACUGCCGGUGUCAAACCGGAGGAAGGUGGGGAUGACGUCAAGUCCUCAUGGCCUUUAUGGGUAGGGCUUCACACGUCAUACAAUGGUCGGUACAGAGGGUUGCCAAGCCGCGAGGUGGAGCCAAUCCCAGAAAGCCGAUCGUAGUCCGGAUUGUUCUCUGCAACUCGAGAGCAUGAAGUCGGAAUCGCUAGUAAUCGCGGAUCAGCAUGUCGCGGUGAAUACGUUCCCGGGUCUU
rnacentral:rRNA from 1 species